CCGCCUGGGUGCCCUCUCACUUCGGAAGGAAGGGGAGAGGCAGUGCUUCCUGUUUACCAAACACUUCCUCAUCUGUACUCGCACAUCUGGAAGAAAACUUCACUUGCUCAAGCAAGGCGGAACCCUGUCUCUAAUCGAGUGCACCCUCAUUGAAGAACUGGAGACCGGCGAUGAGGACUACAAUGCUGCAGGUCAAGGUUUCAACCAUCUGGAGUUUAAAAUAGUGGUU